UCUGUGAUGUCACAGUGAACUGUUCAGUUAAAGAUGGCUGGAUGUUGUCUGUCUGUGGCGGGGGUCAGUGUACACGGUCACAACAGUUACUGUCUCUGUCUGGGGUCAACAUCAUCAUCUCCAAUGGCAACGGGACUAUCCAAUGCACCACCAGCAACCACGUCAGCUCACAGACCAUCUCUCAACCCAUGGAGGACUGUAGUGGUGAGGAUGGGAAAGCCUCAGUGUUACCAGUUAUCACCAUUGUGGGUAGUGUUAUUGGUGUAUUAUUAAGCUUAGUUGCUGUACUAUGUGUUGGAUACAUCAUACAUGCCAGAAAAAGGAAAAUCCCUAAAGAACAACAUUCACUAGAAGAGGACAUUGUUCCAAGAGUUUGGCAACUCAGUGAACACUUCACCAGGGAGAGAGGCCAGAACCACAGCACUCUCCUGGCCAGAACCACAGCACUCUCCUGACCAGAACCACAGCACUCUCCUGGCCAGAACCACAGCACUCUCCUGGCCAGAACCACAGCACUCUCCUGUCCAGAACCACAGCACUCUCCUGGCCAGAACCACAGCACUCUCCUGGCCAGAACCACAGCACUCUCCUGGCCAGAACCACAGCACUCUCCUGGCCAGAACCACAGCACUCUCCUGUCCAGAACCACAGCACUCUCCUGGCCAGAACCACAGCACUCUCCUGACCAGAACCACAGCACUCUCCUGGCCAGAACCACAGCACUCUCCUGACCAGAACCACAGCACUCACUUGGCCAGAACCACAGCACUCACCUGGCCAGAACCACAGCACUCUCCUGGCCAGAACCACAGCACUCUCCUGACCAGAACCACAGCCCUCUCCUGCGAUGCACUGUCUACUUCACUGUGAAGAACCAGCACCAGCAGAACACCUCCAAGUUGAAACAGGAAGCGCAUCAUCAGACAUGAGAGUAGAAGCACAGAAAAGGUGGACCUCUGAUGUCACAUCAUACAGUUCAAGACAUUACACAGAAACUGUGGGUCUAUUGCACCACCCAGUGGACAUGAAUCAAAUAAUACCAGCAGAGUAAACCUGUGCGCUUCAUUCAUCAACAUGUCAUAAAGUUGUUUUAUACAAAAAUC